rnacentral:rRNA from 1 species
AACGAACGCUGGCGGCAGGCCUAACACAUGCAAGUCGAGCGAAGCCUUCGGGCUUAGCGGCGGACGGGUGAGUAACGCGUGGGAACGUGCCCUUUGGUACGGAAUAGCCCCGGGAAACUGGGAGUAAUACCGUAUGUGGUCGAGAGACGAAAGAUUUAUCGCCAAAGGAUCGGCCCGCGUUGGAUUAGGUAGUUGGUGGGGUAAUGGCCUACCAAGCCGACGAUCCAUAGCUGGGUUGAGAGGAUGAUCGGCCACACUGGGACUGAGACACGGCCCAGACUCCUACGGGAGGCAGCAGUGGGGAAUCUUAGACAAUGGGGGAAACCCUGAUCUAGCCAUGCCGCGUGAUCGAUGAAGGCCUUAGGGUUGUAAAGAUCUUUCAGUGGGGAAGAUAAUGACUGUACCCACAGAAGAAGCCCCGGUUAACUCCGUGCCAGCCGCCGCGGUAAGAC